rnacentral:rRNA from 1 species
UACAGAGGGUGCAAGCGUUGCUCGGAAUCAUUGGGCGUAAAGGGUAGGUAGGUGGUCUCGUUUGUCUGGGGUGAAAGCCCAGGGCUUAACCCUGGAAGUGCCCCGGAAACGGCGAGACUGGAGUACUGGAGAGGGUCGUGGAAUUCCCGGUGUAGCGGUGAAAUGCGUAGAGAUCGGGAGGAACACCAGAGGCGAAGGCGGCGACCUGGACAGUAACUGACACUCAACUACGAAAGCGUGGGGAGCAAACAGG